rnacentral:rRNA from 1 species
AAUAUUUGACGAUGGGGGGAACCUUUAUCUAGCCAUGCCGCGUUUGUGAAGUAGUACUUCGGUUUGUAAAGCAUUUUAAGUUGUUAGGCAGAGUUGUAUGCUUAUACUUUUCAAUUUUGACGUUACCCACAGAUUAAGCACCGGCAAACUUCGUGCCAGCAGCCGCGGUAAUACGAAGGGUGCAAGCGUUAAUCGGAAUUACUGGGCGUAAAGCGCGCGUAGGUGGUUCGUUAAGUUGGAAGUGAAAGCCCCGGGCUUAAACUGGGAAUUGCGUUCAAAACUGACGAGCUAGAGUACGGUAGAGGGUAGUGGAAUUUCCUGUGUAGCGGUGAAAUGCGUAGAUAUAGGAAGGAACAUCAGUGGCGAAGGCGACUACCUGGACUGAUACUGACACUGAGGUGCGAAAGCGUGGGGAGCAAACAGG